rnacentral:lncRNA from 1 species
CAGUUUGAGGCCUGACACUCGGACACUCCUGCUCCCUGGCCCUGGGAGAUCAGCAUUCCUUACCAUCAACCUCCUCGGGGAGAGCUCGAGUCCAAGUUCCGAGCUGGCUUCCACACGAGGACGCACGCAGCUCCCGCGUCAGACUAUUCCACCAAUGCCCCUACCGGAAGCUGCCUUGGCAGCUAUGUCUUCUGGGAAAAGUAGUCCGAGAGGAAAGAACUGCGGCGUUCAACGCGCGAUGCUGAGCAAUGCACCUGCGCAGUUUCACUCAGGCCCGUAGUGACGUCAUAACCUCCUCGGAUUCUUUCCACCUCUUUGCGUCUGGAUUUGAGGAUCUCGAAUUCCUCUAAGGGCAGAUCUCGGGCCUGACACAGGGACUGUCCCUGCUCCCUCAACGUGGCCUGUGAGGUUGUGGUGUGAGGUGUGUUUUGUGUGAAUCCGCAUGUGCGCGUAUCCGAGGGUCAAUAUCUAGGAAGUUACAAGCUUCAGGUGUGCUUCUCUGCAUCUUUCCUACUUCCCAGAAGUCUCUUCCAAGAGUAACCAAAAUACACAGUCAAGCUAAGAUGUCACUGCAGCAUCUCCUCUUCCUUCUGAUUUUCAGCCAAACUGAAGCACAGGUGGGCAUCAUGUGAUUAAUUAAUGAGACAUAUUCCCAGUCUCCAAGUUGUUCCUGUGUCUCGUGCUGUGCUCACCUGUAGAUGCUCUACUGGAUGGUCGUGGCUCUGGGCCAGGAUUAUAGUAACUGAAGAACCAAAAGAUGUCUGUACUCCAACCCUUUGUGAAACAGAAGAUCAUCAAAAAGAGGACCAAGAAGUUCAUCUGGCAUCAGUCAGACCGAUAUGUCAAAAUUAAGUGGAAACCCAGAGACACUGACAACAGGGAAAAAAGUAUGCUGGGGGAGAAAGUUAGCAAGAUGGUGGAGCAAGAAGUUCUAAAAUCCUGUUGCCCAAAAGUGACUUAAAAUAACAAGCAGAAACAGGUAAACCCAAUUUCCUCAGGACUCCAGAAAUCUGUGAAAAGUUUACAGCAACCAAGCAAAUGCUGAACCAAGAAAAGGCAAAGUAAAAAUGGUAGAAAAAUCUCAUAGCACCUCUGCUGGCCCUUCCUCACUCCUCUCCCAGCUCAGUA